UUCCAAAGCGGGCUCUAUGAUGACAACAGCGAGCCUGACACGGGGCUCGAACUCACCAGCCGUGAGAUCACGACCUGAGCCGAAGUUGGACGCUUAACCGACUGAGCCACCCAGGCGCCCCUCCGAUUUUGUAAUGCUGUUGUGUGGACCGGUGUGUUACUAGAGACCUUGCCCUCCUUUUCGGAAAGAGCAGAGUAUUCUCCAAUGACCCCCAGAUACCAGGGAACCAAACCUUCUUGCACAACCCGCCCAAACUCCAGGCACCAAGGAACUCGAACUUCUUGCACAACUUCCAAGCUCCGAGAUAACUCUGUAGCUGGCAUCAUCGAGUCCGCAUGUAAUCAAGAAAUGUCACAGACAGCUGCACUCCCUUAACCCCUUUAAAAAUCUCUGGGCCAGGCGGAAACCUGGGAGUUGGCCUUUGGACAAGAGUCUGCCUUCUCCCCAGGUGGCCAGCCUCCCGAAUAAAGCUCAUAUUCCUUUCCAAUAAAAGCUCAUCUCUUGAUGGGCAGCCGAACUUGGGUUUCAGGAA